ensembl:snRNA U1 U1 spliceosomal RNA
AUACUUACCUGGCAGGGGAGAUACCGUGAUCACAAAGGUGGUUUUCCCAGGGCGAGGCUUAUGCAUUGCACUCCGGAUGUGCUGACCCCUGCGUUUUCCCCAAAUGGAGAAAACCCGACUGCAGAGUUUGUGAUAGUGGGGGACUACACUGGAGCUUUCCCCUG